UAUUUGUUGUUAAGUUUUAAUUAGGACAACUAUUUUGUGUUAUGUCUUAGAGUUUUCUUUAGUAGUUUCGUGGUGUAGUUUUCCUUUGUUUUUAUUGGUGUCCCUUGUUGAUUUGCAUUUUAUUUGUUGGGUUUUAUUAUGAGUGUUAGAAUUGCUUGCUAGUAUGUUUGCUUAUAUGAAUGCUAUGUUUGACUAUAUAGAUUUUCAACGGAGUGACGAAUAGUUCUACCAAGUCAUUACAUUGAGAGUUUUGUUAUCUUCAUCAAGUAGUACCAGGCAAGUUCACUUUGACCAUGUUUUUCAUACCUAUGUUUUUAUUGCAUUUAGUGUCAUCUUUGCAACAAUCCCCUAGUAGUGAUAUUGAAUUCUUGUAGUUCAUUAGUAUGCAUGAGGUAGGAACCCAUCACCCUGUUACCAAGCCCGGGACGUUAUUUAUUUUAAUGCUAUGCUAUAGUAGACGGGGUUUGGUACGAGUGCACGAGUGUGGUGUGAAGAAGGAGGACUCUACGUCAAUGACGACAACUCCAUGAUGGCAUCUGCAAGGACUGCAUCUUCGAGGCCUCAAGACUUCAAGAACCGGGCCUCAAGACUUCAAGACUCGAGACAAGAUUCAAUACACACUACUGGGUGAAGGACGGUUGAGGGGCACCCUGGAGAAACCAGUGGAUGGCCGGGAUGCAUGGAGAAGCGCCAUGACAUCUUGCGGAAAGCUUCACCCAGACUCAAAGAGACGGAGGAAUACUUCAUGCCCGGAAGCUUACCUGUGCAACCGCAAGUCACUAUGGGCUCUGGCUUGGUUGACCUUAGUUGUGACUCUGGCUAGGGCGGUGCUAGCAGAUGUAGAACUACGAUAGGAUUGGAUGAGCAUCGGACAGUGGUCAGGGGAACUCUUCGGAAGACCAUGUUUCGGUCGUCUUGUUCUCAAACACCCUGAAGUGCGAGAACGUAAAAGAGGGAUUGAAUCUUGCGGGUAAAGUGCACAAACCUCUGCAGAGGGUUAAAACCUAAUCGAUUAGCCGUGUCCCCACUUACGGACAAUUUGAGCCUCUGGACUUGGAUCUAUCUCGGAACUCUCAACACCGGACUGAUAACAUAAUUGUGGGCAAGUUAUGAUGAUUUUGGGCUAUGAGACAUCGUUUGGCGGAACCAUGUCAUGAUAGAAAACUCCGUAGUACAGACUCCUGAUGUUCCUUUGUUAUAGGAAAAUAAAAUUAGCUUUUACGCAAACAAAACUCAGAUACAGAGCCACAAAGCCAUAUUGCAUAUAGUAUAGUUUAUCAUCUGUUUUUCUUACAGUGAUCUUACCUAUACAUUCAAUGUACUGACAUACACGGUUGCAACGUAUCAUGUUGCAGAUACUUUCUUCCAACGAGUAAGAGUACGGUACAGGGUUACGGUCUACACUCAACCUGCCGAUGGCGUUGAUGGGACUCCACACCCGACUAUUUGUUUCCGCUGUGACUUAUGAGGUAUAUAUCAGUUUUACGUUAUUUAUACAUGUGAUUGCACUUUGAUAUAUACAUUGAUGUACUGUGUGUGCCAGCAUACUGAUCCAGGGAUGGCACAGAAACACAGAGACUUGACCGUCUGAGGUCGGGUCGCUACAGAUAUGGUAUCAGAGCACAUGUUGACUGUAGGACGUGACCCUAGAAAUCGGAAAGCCCCUAGGAUAGGAAAUCUCUAAAACUUUAUUUUCAAAAAUACCCUUACUUCUAAUAUUUUCAUGAUUUUAUCAAAUAUCCUCUCUUACCUCAAAUAGUUAGAAUAUACCCUUUCUCUUUUGACCACACGGAGGAUCAACUAAAGCCGCUCCAAGAAGGACAAGAUAUCGGACAACCGAUGACCUCUUCAGAGUAAAGAAGAUUUCACGAUACAUUUCGAAGAAAGAAGCUACAACAGUUGAAGACUGCGAAGACUUGAAGAAUUUGGAGAAUCUGAAGAAUUAUUUGACCUUUAGAAGACCAAAUCCCUGUUAUAUACUUACGUUAGAUGCGACGAUUUGUGAGCUGUCAGUUGUGUGAUGUUUCUCGACAGCCACAAAUAAAAUCCAUUUUCAAAAUUAUUGUUUGUGUUGUGUGUAUCUAUCUCUAUCUCUCUUAUCUCACCCAAAGCCCUUGGACCCAAUAGAUGAGGAAGGAAGAUGGACUGGUAUUCUCUGGACCAACGAUUCAGUUGGAGGCAGAGCUAUGGAUUCAAAACAUGGAGGAUCACUUCAGGAAAAAUCUGAUUGCAAGGAAGUAUGAGGUUCAAUAUGCUCUUCGAUACUUUAUAGAAAGUGCCGCAACCUGGUGGAAAAUGCAUCAUGCCAUACAAGGAUGUAACGGAGCAAGAACUUGGGAGGAAUUCAAGAAGACUCUGUUAAGAUCCCGUCUCAUCCGGAAGCACUUGGCUAACCCGAUGAAGAAACCUUGUGGCUGCAAGAUUUGCAGAGAAAUAGGACACACCAAUGAAGAAACAAGGAUGGAUGGCCUCUUCUAAAUUGUGGAAUGUUAUGAGUUGUUGUUGAUUGUGAGUGCCUCUCUCAUUAUCUCACCUAGACUUAAACCUUGAACCCCUGGACAAGCUGAUCCCAAACCUUUCCCAAAAAAGCACAUUUGACCCAAGGAAAUACACACAUUACCCUGAGUGCCCCUUAUAUCUUAUACCUGCAGAUGACAAGCCUUUACGAGUAUUUUCUCAAGGGCCCGGAAACGAUCAUGACCCUUACUAGUGAUCAGGAUUACCCAAAGAUCCUGAAGGACAUGAUGAAGCAUAUUCAUCUUGAAGGAGAUGCAGUCUACAAGGGUUAUCCUUUCAUGGAGAAUGGAGUUGAGCUUUGGUAAGUGGAGUUACACCUCCACCUUGUGAAGGGAGUUUGCCCAAAGACUAUGGGUCAAUACCUUUUCAUUUCUCGAGUACCAUGAGCAACAUUCUUCGACUCUGUUCGUGAAGCUGCUUUGGAAGCCAUACGUCAGAUUGGAGAAAUACUUGAAGCAAGACUCCGUCACACUCAGGAAUACCUGAGAGAGGUACAUGCAGAUAUGCUGGAGAUGAAGCUGAUGGCCACCAUGAUGAAGCAGAAGAUCGAUGAUUUCAAGGAUCACCUCGAACAAUUCCAGUGGGAUUGAAGCAUCUUCAAGUAGGGCAAAUGAAUACAGAUGGAAGUAAUGCUUGACCAUACCAAACUAUGUGGAUGGCAACAUUUGUAAUAAAGUACUUUUGGUAUUUGAAUUUUGAGUAGUGAUUAAGGAUGUAAUACAUGAUUUGACAUGAAGAGAGUAUGAAUUAUGGAUGCACCAGUACAAUUUAUUUUUGUGGUAAUACCCUGUUGGGACACCUGACCAAUGGAAAGGAAAAUGUAUUCCACAGAGUGGAGUUUGGACAAAAAGAGUUGGAGGCUUUUUUUGUUAUGAUGGUUACCCCAAGAGUAUGAAGGAAUGAAGUACUAUUGGAUUUAAAGGAGAUGUAAUUUGGAAUAUGGAACAAUAGUAACUCCAAAGAUGAGUUAAAGAUAUACAAGUAUUGAAGUGGGCCAUAACCCACAGGACCCAGGAUUUAAAAGGAACAAGCACAACCUUGUUGUAGGAAGAAAUUAUGGAAGAAGUUGUGAUUUCAUCAGCGGACGUUCCAUAGGAGGUUACGUAAACUCAAGAGUUGUGAAGAAACGAUAGAGGUUUUGUUUGGCUUGCAGGACAUACGGAUUUACCCGAACGCAGAUCGUGGAGAAGAGAAGUUCUGCCAUGCUUGUGAGUAUGCCCAAGUGUUAGAAUACGUGAUUCGAUGUCUGCAUAUGUAGUAAUGGUUCAAGUACGGGAUGGAUUUGCCCCCAUACCGGAGACUUCUAUCAUGAACUAUCAUAUGUUGAUGGAAAAUCAGAGAUACUUGAAAACCUUAGAAGAGUAUCGACGCGAUAAGCCAUAAAACCAUAGAAUGGUAGGACGAUGGAACCCUUUACAGGCAACCGUUGCCAACCGUAGGUUAUACGGUGAGAUUCAACCUAGGACCAUUUCUUGUAGGAGAAGCCAAUAAUGAUUGACCACAAUGAGAUUUCAAAAGUUGUUUAGUAUUGGCGACAGACCUGUCAGAUAAGAAGACCCAGUCUCGGAAGAACCUCACCGGGAUGAAAGGACACAUGUUUUAGGAAAAAGGACCCCGGAGUGGGAAUUAUCAUGAAGAUAUGAGAAGACCGACACCGUCAACCCAAAGGAUGGAGUACAUGAAUUUUGUCGGAACCAUAGCCUUGCUUUUAAGUGUGGUAGCACCCCGUACCUCUGUGAUGAUCGGUGGAUUUGUUCGAUGACCUCCAAACCCUAACCUUUUCUUUCUAGCCUUUUCGAAUCUCGAGGACGAGAUUCAUUUUAAGUGUGGUGGGUUUGUAACAUCCCAAUAUUCUAAAAUUUGGAAUGUUAUAUUAAAUAAAUAUUUGUGUUUGUUUGUUUGAUUGAAUGGUCGAUUGAUUGACUGAAAGUGAGUGAAAUUUGAAACCUUUUGAAAGUUGAACGAGAGGGAAUAAAAGGACUUUCCCAAAACUGUCAUCUUUGCAUUAUGAUCUUCAUGAAUUCAAAUUCAUUUCAUCACAAGACCCUAGAGUGAGGAUAAUAUGACUUCUUUCAUUUAAAAAAAUGAAAAGGGUUUUGAAAAGACUUGAAUUCCAUUUGGACAUAUUUCAAAUUCCGAAGCUUUAUGCAACUCAAUGAUUUUCAUGAGAGAAGAUAAAAUGACUUCUUCAAAUUAUAUGAAAUAGAGUUGGAAGUGGUUUGAAAUUCAAAUUCAAAACCGUUUAGGAGUUAUUUGGGUUUUAUUCAAAUUAUUUUUCUCCAAAAAUAAAUUAUUUGGAAAUUAGGGUAAAAUGAUUCCCUACAAUAUAAAUUGGAGGAAAGUAAAUUUGAAAUCAUUCUGGUGUUUAAAAAAUGAUUUUAUUGGGUUUUAUUGCAACAGCAGCGCUCUUUGACUUUUGUGAUUUUGCUUGGAUUUUAUUUGGACUUGGGAAAUAGUCUAUGUUUUAGGAUUUAUUUUUCUGAAUUUAUAUAUAUAUUAUAUGUCUAUAUAAAAAUUUCUCUUUAUUUGUGUCUUGUUUUAUUUUUUUUCUUGUCUGUAUUUUAUAUAAAAAAAUUGGCCGAAGGCCGCAGCCUAGCGGACCCUACCUCUCUCCCAACGGCCCAGCUGGCCCAGCAGCUCGCCCCCGCGCCCGAACCGCUACCACCCGGUCACCCGACCCCUCCUCUCGCUCUCGCUCGCCUGUCUCUCUCACGAACAGUGGGGCCCGCAUCUUCUUCUUCCUCAAGCCACGCCCGAAUCGUGCACGCGCAAGAGUUCGUUUCUGCCAAUCCAAAUCCUCGCGGGAUUCACUCGAUUCUUUGCCCCUCGCGCAAGCCGGCCUCCCUAUAAAUAUUCCCCUCCUCCUCCUCGUCCGAUUUUCGCGAAAACCUCGAUCUCCCGUGCCCUACAGCUCCGUCCCAAGCUCGCCGGAGUUCCUCCGCACCACCGCAGCUCCGCCGCCUUCCCGCGCCUGCACCUGCCAUUCCGACCACCUUAUCCACCACCAUCGCAUCCGCCUUGCCAAUCCGCACCUCGCCGUGCUCUCGGACGAGCCAGAGAACCACCGGAGCCCCUGCGCCACCCGCAAUCCCUCGCUGGAGAAGCUUUCUGCCGCCACGCGCCAUUGCUCGCCGCCGUCGCCUCCGACCUCCCCGAGACCCGCCGACACCACCAUUGUGCUCCCCUCCCUCUACUACACCUUCCCAACCGCUCGCCUAAGCUCCAGCACCGCCAAAGCGCCGUCGCCAUCACCCACCGAACAUCACCGCCGCCCCGAGCUCACCGCCGCCCGUCUCCGUCAUCCCCGGGCGCACUGGCGACCAUCGUUGGAACUGCCUCCGACCUCUGCAACCCCUUGUCUCCUCCGCCUUCCCCGCCGCCGACGACGUCCGAGCCGCCACCGCCGACGACGACCUCGGCGGAGACGCCACCACCGCUGUAAGCAACCUCCACCGUCCGAUCUGUUAUUGACGGCACAGAUUUGAUCUAACGAACGGUUACGUUUUUUUAAUUAGAUCGGUUUAGUUCCGGUUUGUUACGGUUUUUAGUCGCGGGUUUUCUUCGGUUUAGAUCGGUUCAGGUCUAGUCGUUUUAGCCGAUCAGUCUUUCUGUUCUAGCCCGUACACGUUUGUGUUAUUUUACGACCGAGCGCUAGAUAGUUCAGAUCGGCCACCACCCUGGCCCGAUAGGAGUAGGCCACGUAGCUAGUGCCCGAUUGUUUUUUUUGUUUUGAUUUUCGUUUCUGUUUUAAAAACAGAAUAGUUCUGAUUUUCUAUUGCUUAUAACUUUUAUGUUUUAGAUCCAAAUUUGGUGUUUCUUUUUGCAUUAGUUUUAUAAUUUCUUGAAGUUUCUGCUAGUGCAAUUGGAUUUCAUAUUUGAGUUGUUUAAAAUUGAAUUUGAUGAAAUUUGUUCAAAUUAGUAAUUUGGCCAUAACUUGAGCUUUAUAAAAUAUUUUUGAUUGAUUCUUUUUCCUCCUGGUCACUAGGACCUUUAACUAUCCAGUAGUGUUGAGUAUUUUAUUUUUAGUUUAUUUUAAAAUUAGGUUUUUAAUCAAAACAGUACGGUUUUAGUUAUAGUUUUGUUUUAGUCUUUUCUUUAUAGUUUUAAUUUUUUUUUUCUUUUUUUCACUUUUGACAAACUCUUAGUUUUGUUCUGUUGGUCAACAAAAUAAAAAUUUAUAUUAUUUUAAAAUUUUAUUUUAUUUAGUUUUCGUAUGAAAACUUGUUUAGGUCAUAGUUAGUGUUUCAUAAAAGCUUUUUAUUUGUUUCCUUUUACAAAUAAAAUUUUAUGAAAAAUACUUUUUGUUAACUUAGUUGUUUUAUUUUUUAUUUUCUGUUAACUUAUUAGUUUAGUGUUUUAUUUAUUGUUAAGUUUUACUUACGACAACUAUUUUGUGUUAUGUCUUAGAGUUUUCUUUAGUAGUUUCGUGGUGUAGUUUUCCUUUGUUUUUAUUUGGUGUCCCUUAUUGAUUUGCAUUUUAUUUGUUGGUUUUAUUAUGAGUGUUAGAAUUUCUUGCUAGUAUAUUUGCUUAUAUGAAUGCUAUGUUUGACUAUAUAGAAUUUCAACGGAGUGACGAAUAGUUCUACCAAGUCAUUAUUCUGAGAGUUUUGUUAUCUUCAUCAAGUAAUACCAGGCAAGUCACUUUGACCAUGUUUUUCAUACCUAUGUUUUUAUUGCAUUUAGUGUCAUCUUUGCAACAAUCCCUCCAGUAGUGAUAUUGAAUUCUUGUAGUUGAUUAGUAUGCAUGAGGUAGGAACCCAUCACCCUGUUACCAAGCCCGGGAUGUUAUUUAUUUUAAUGCUAUGCUAUAGUAGACGGGGUUUGGUACGAGUGCACGAGAGUGGUGUGAAGAAGGAGGACUCUACAUCAAUGACGACAACUCCAUGAUGGCAUCUGCAAGGACUGCAUCUUCGAGGCCUCAAGACUUCAAGACUCGAGACAAGAAUUCAAUACACACUACUGGGUGAAGGACGGUUGACGGGCACCCUGGAGAAACCAGUGGAUGGCCGGGAUGCAUGGAGAAGCGCCAUGACAUCUUGCGGAAAGCUUCACCCAGACUCAAAGAGACAGAAGAAUACUUCAUGCCCGGAAGCUUACCUGUGCAACCGCAAGUCACUAUGGGCUCUGGCUUGGUUGACCUUAGUUGUGACUCUGGCUAGGACGGUGCUAGCAGAUGUAGUGCUACGAUAGGAUUGGAUGAGCACCGGACAGUGG
rnacentral:lncRNA from 1 species